rnacentral:rRNA from 1 species
GACGAACGCUGGCGGCGUGCUUAACACAUGCAAGUCGAACGGAAAGGCCCUGCUUGCAGGGUACUCGAGUGGCGAACGGGUGAGUAACACGUGGGUGAUCUGCCCUGCACUUCGGGAUAAGCCUGGGAAACUGGGUCUAAUACCGGAUAGGAGCCAUUUUUAGUGUGAUGGUUGGAAAGUUUUUUUCGGUGUAGGAUGAGCUCGCGGCCUAUCAGCUUGUUGGUGGGGUAAUGGCCUACCAAGGCGGCGACGGGUAGCCGGCCUGAGAGGGUGGACGGCCACAUUGGGACUGAGAUACGGCCCAGACUCCUACGGGAGGCAGCAGUGGGGAAUAUUGCACAAUGGGCGCAAGCCUGAUGCAGCGACGCCGCGUGGGGGAUGACGGCCUUCGGGUUGUAAACUCCUUUCGCUAGGGACGAAGCUUUUAGUGACGGUACCUAGAUAAGAAGCACCGGCUAACUACGUG